GCGGGGCACAGUGGCCCAUGCCUGCAAUCCCAACCACUCAGGAGGCUGAGGCAGGAGGAUCACAAGUUCGAGGCCAGCUGCAGCAACUUUGUGAGACCUUGUCUCAA
rnacentral:sRNA from 1 species